AGGCAACAAACCAAAAAAAAAAAAACAGUAUCUGGAGUUAACUGUGCUUCUGCCUAACAGAAUGAACUGCAGAGGGCAGAUACUCAGGAGGAAAACAUAGGUUUGCCCCUGGAGAAGCCUUUCAAAAUGCACACUCCCCCGUUUCAGCUUCUAGCAUCCAAUCAAAUUAGAUCUAACAACAAGGAGCAGAAGAAGAAAAGGAAAAAUCAAUGUGGGCCAAACGUAAAGGAAGAAAAUCAAUAGGGAAAGAAAUUUGAUUUUCAACCAAAGACUAAGAAUAUAUUACAAAAAAU